UCACGGCCGUAUUAGCAAUAGAUUUUCACAUCUUCAGCUCCUGUAAAUUUUCAAGACAAAAGGAAAUCUCUUAGGUGCAGAGAGAUGGAGUGCGGUUGCUGGGACAUCAUUUUUCUCCAUGUAACCAGCUGAAGACAUCUGUGUGCGCUGAAGAAAUGUAAAAGUACAUAACAAUAAUGUUUGUAAAAGUAGUAUUCUUAUAUGAGUCUUAAAAAGCCAGCAACGGACUUGCAAGCCUUCUGGCAAUGUGUGUCCAUGGCAGUAACACUUAACAUCAGGUUAGGUUCCUGCCAGUUCGCCUCAGCCCUCAUACUUAAAAAAAUAUAAUGUAUUAGGUUAAUAAAAAUAUAUAUUAUUUACGCUAUUUUUAUAAAUAACAACUAUAUAAGAGAUAUUACCAUUGAAUUAUCAAUCAUAUUUGUAAAUAGGCGUCUUAUGUCGUAAUAAUUAUAAUAUAAUACGAAUUAACAAUAAUUUACUAUACAAAUGUUAGUUACGACGUAAUUACUUUUAUAUUGAAAGAAAUAACGCUGCAAACUUAGGUAAAGAAAAAAUUCAGCAUGUCUCACUCAAUUUUUUUAUAUAAUGACUUCCUACUAUAUUGUAGAGCAUAGAACAUAAUUGUAGUUUUCUUAACAUCCUAGAGUUAUAUCGUGAACAUAGGCACAAGCAUAUCCAACAUGAAGAUAGUUGCAGCUACUCAGCGGCAUCACUAUUAGUGCCCUACAUCUACCCUGUAGAUCCGAAUUUGUUUGAAGUAGGGCGACAAAUUCGGUUCUAGAGAGGUUUGUGUGGUGCAUGCACUGCGUCUUUCAAGACCUUACCCCAAGAAGAAUACGAAGAGAAGACUAAUUACUUCUUUACUAUUAGAUACCUACGUAUAUUGGAAAUUUUAUUAAAAGUUAAUUUCGUUACAGUUUUUAAUCUAUUUAUUUUUAAAUGUAACGUUAAAAUUAAUAGGUUGUUAUUGGUCAAAAUAAAUUAUCAUAUAAUCACAAAACCUAAAAUUUUUCCAAAUUUUAGUUUUUGUUCACGUUCACAGGUGCCACUAUUCGUAAGUUCAGCUUUACUUUCAUUUAUUCACACGCAUCUAGAACCUCUAUUUCCUUGAUAUGUAUACUAAAUUGAAUUUUCAUAUGCCUCUAAUAACAAAAUAAUAUAAAGGCUGUUGUUAUGUAUACCUAGUACAUUUGUUUUGUUUGUUUUAUAAAAAAAAUAUGAUGAUUUACCUAUGUAAUUU